GGCGUACUCCCUCCAUCCAACAAAAGAUGUUUUAAGUUUGUCAAAAUUUGGAUGUAUCUAGACAUGACUUAGUGUAUAGAUGCAUUCAAAUUUAGUCAAAGUUGAGACAUCUUUUGCUGGACGAAAGAAGUACUAG
rfam:Brachypodium distachyon strain Bd21 chromosome 2, whole genome shotgun sequence.